rnacentral:rRNA from 1 species
AACGAACGCUGGCGGCAUGCCUAACACAUGCAAGUCGAACGAGACCUUCGGGUCUAGUGGCGCACCGGUGCGUAACGCGUGGGAACCUGCCUUUAGGUUCGGAAUAACUCCCCGAAAGGGGUGCUAAUACCGGAUAAUGUCUUCGGACCAAAGAUUUAUCGCCUUUGGAUGGGCCCGCGUGGGAUUAGCUAGUUGGUAGGGUAAAAGCCUACCACGGCGACGAUCGAUAGCUGGUCUGAGAGGAUGAUCAGCCACACUGGGACUGAGACGCGGCCCAGACUCCUACGGGAGGCAGCAGUGGGGAAUAUUGGACAAUGGGCGAAAGCAUGAUCCAGCAAGGCCGCGUGAGUGAUGAAGGCCUUGGGGUUGUAAAGCUCUUUUACCCGGGAUGAGAAUGACGGUACCGGGAGAAUAAGCGCCGGCUAACUCCGUG